CGCAAGCCGUGAUGCAGCCAUGCCGCGUGUAUGAAGAAGGCCUUCGGGUUGUAAAGUACUUUCAGCAGUGAGGAAGGCGGGUACGUUAAUAGCGUGCUCGUUUGACGUUAGCUGCAGAAGAAGCACCGGCUAACUCCGUGCCAGCAGCCGCGGUAAUACGGAGGGUGCGAGCGUUAAUCGGAAUUACUGGGCGUAAAGCGCAUGCAGGUGGUUUGUUAAGUCAGAUGUGAAAGCCCGGGGCUCAACCUCGGAAUUGCAUUUGAAACUGGCAGACUAGAGUACUGUAGAGGGGGUAGAAUUUCAGGUGUAGCGGUGAAAAUGCGUAGAGAUCUGAAGGAAUACCGGUGGCGAAGGCGGCCCCCUGGACAGAUACUGACACUCAGAUGCGAAAGCGUGGGGAGCAAACAGGAUUAGAUACCCUGGUAG
rnacentral:rRNA from 1 species